GAUGAACGCUGGCGGCGUGCUUAACACAUGCAAGUCGAACGAACCUUCGGGUUAGUGGCGGACGGGUGAGUAACGCGUGAGAAUCUGCCCUCAGGAGGGGGAUAACAGCUGGAAACGGCUGCUAAUACCCCAUAUGCCGCGAGGUGAAAUGAAUUUCGCCUGAGGAUGAGCUCGCGUCUGAUUAGCUAGUUGGUGUAGGUAAGGGCUCACCAAGGCAUCGAUCAGUAGCUGGUCUGAGAGGAUGAUCAGCCACACUGGGACUGAGACACGGCCCAGACUCCUACGGGAGGCAGCAGUGGGGAAUUUUCCGCAAUGGGCGAAAGCCUGACGGAGCAACGCCGCGUGAGGGAUGAAGGCCUCUGGGCUGUAAACCUCUUUUAUCAAGGAAGAAGAUCUGACGGUACUUGAUGAAUAAGCCACGGCUAAUUCCGUGCCAGCAGCCGCGGU
rnacentral:rRNA from 1 species